CAUAGCAUACAUGAUCGAUCCAACGGCGGAAGCAUAUGGGAAUCGACUAAGUCCAAUUAGUCUUUUACUCCUAUUUCUUAAAAUCCUUGUUCCCAGAAUAUAAGCAACCUCUCCUAGAUCCUUCAUAGUGAAACACGUUCCAAUCCAGGACUUAACUUCUUGCAAGGUUGGAAUGUCAUUUCAUAUAAGUGUGACAUCCCCAAAAUCUCGGCCAGAAAAGACCGAUUUUCAUUUAUGCUUUUAAAAUAUUUUCAGAGUAAAUCCUUUUGAUUUGAAAGAGUUGCGGAAUUUGUUCCCAAAAACAAAACAUGAUAAAACAAUGUUUACCAAAGCAUUUCAUAAAAGAAAUGUAUUUUUCAUUAUAUAAUCAAAACUCGGGGUGUCAUGUUCCGAUACAGACCAAUAAGCAUAAACGAAUACAUUACAAGUCAUUCAACAAAUAUAAACAUAUGCAGACUUGUAAUCAAAACAACUGAUGGUUCAUCCAUCUCAUGCCCUUGCGCCACUUCCUGUAAUACAAUUAAAACUGAGUGGGUCAGGCUUGGGAGUCUGGUGAGCAUAUAGGGUUUUCAACCCACAAUAAAUAAUCAUAUUUAAUUUUCACCAACCAACAAUAACCCAAUUACCCAUUCCCGUUAUUCUCACUUUAUGUCCCUAAAACAACUAACACAAGGGACCUAGUCUAAGAAUAUUUCAUCGGGGCGACAACACAUGCUUCGGGGGUACCUCAGCAAUAUAAGUCAAAUAAGGCAACCAUGAGGGGGAUGGAGUACAGCAAAUGAACACCCGAGUUCAUUAACACCUACAGGUGGCGAACCUGCUAAUGUUUCCACAAGACUGUCUAGAAUAGCCAGUGGUCGUCAUCUAAACUCCGCUAGAUGACUAAAUCAAACAACAACGAGGCCUCUCAUCUGUUUAUUACACACCAACUAUCUACCCAUGUUCUACCCAACAUAUUAGUAGAUAAAAAUAUACAUUUUUAUACAUAGUUUAAAAACCUGUAUAGCAUGCUUUAAUCAAUACAUAUUCCACAUAACAGAUGAGGCACACACACACAUAACACGUAUUUCAUAGAGAAUAAAUCAUAUCUAUGAGAUAGAAGAAAGUGAAUACACAUUCACACAUAUAAACAACAAUAUACUAUACACAUAGCACGUAUUUUAUAGAAAAUACUUAAUAUUUAUGUGUUAGAAGAAGGUAACUACACACUCACACUUAUAAACAACAAUAUACUUAAUACACUCGAACCAAACUUGUAUUAUUAUCGUGUUUAUGAAAGGUAGUAUACACUCACUUGAUCAGAAGAUGAUCGGACAGCACUACGACUUGCAGAAGUAGUAAUCCUCAGCAGAUCUGGAAGAUCUUCACAAAAAUCGAACUUCUCGCGGGCAGAGCUUCGGCUCGGGAACCGCACUUCUCGGGAUCUUCGGGAUCUCGGGACUUGCCUCGGGGCUCGAGAAUAAUACCGGGGCUUCGGGGUAUUUCUUGCACGCAAAACGAUGCAAAACGGGAGAGAGAAGAGAGAAAAUGAACAAAAGACUCGGCUGCCUUCGGAUCCUAUUUAUAGGAGGCUGGAGCCUCGGAGUACGCGGGGCGUACUGCAGUACGCAGCGCGUACUGCUUCCGAAAUCGUCACUGCAUGCGUCAUCCGAAAUGUCGACACUCUUCGGAGUACGCGGGGCGUACGUCGGAUCGGACCGGUGACUCGUCUUCGGAUAAUGCCGGAUUAAAAGAUUAAUUUUAAUUACAAAAUAUUUAAUAAACUUCGGAAAUUCAUAACUUCUUCAUACGAACUCCGUUUUCGACGUUCUUUAUAUCCACGCGAAGGUGAGACUACGCUCUACAACUUUCGUUUAGACUCCGUCGGCUAAUUUUGACUUUAUUUUUAUUAUUUAUUUUUAAUAGGCCGCGACAGAAAAACUUCGUUAUAAAUUCAUAACUUCUUCGUUUGACGUCCGUUCUCGCCUAACUUUUUAUCGCUUCGAUACCAACAACGAGACCUUCGAUCCUCGUUUAGAUUGCUUCGGCUAAAAACCGCUCGAUCUCAAAUCGAGUAUUUCGGGCUGCACACCGCUAAGCCGAAACUUCGAUAAAUCAUAACUUCCUCAUACGAAGUCAGAUUUGGGCGUUCUAUAUAUAUUCGGAAACCUCGUUUCAACUACUACAACAUUAACCAAAGAUAUUAAGUUUAUUUUACACUUAAAUUUUGACGCUUAUUUUUAUUCUUAAUUAAUCAAACCACAUAAUUAAGCAAUUAAGCACAAAACACAUAAUACUCAAAUAAUACAAUCUUAUUAUUUCAAAACGGGUUACAAAGGUUAACCUAGACUAUUACAUUGCUAAAAAUGGCAAGCCCGGAAACACAGGCGUUACAAUUCUCUCCACCUUAGAAUGAUUCCGUCCCCGGAAUCACACAUCAACAAACAAAUGCGGAUAGCGACUCAACAUGUCACUCUCCGUCUCCCAGGUGAGAUUCGGCCCAUUCGUGUGUUUCCAUCGGACAAGCACUAACCCAACCAUUUUGCGUCGCAACUUCUUAGUCUUUCGGUCAACAAUUGCCUCUGGUUCUUCAAUCAACCUUUUGUUCUCAUCAAUUCUCAAUUCAGAAAUUGGAAUUAUAUCGGGAACUUCUCCCGUGAACUUCCUCAAAUAACACACAUGAAAAGUGUUGUGAAUUCCAUUCAGUUCUUCGGGUAAUUCGAGCUUGUAAGCUUGAUUCCCAAUCCUCUGAAGGACUUUAAACGGUCCAAUAAACCUUGGACUCAACUUUCCCCUUUUACCAAAUCUUAUAAGUCCCUUCCACGGCGAGACUUUAAGCAAAACCGAAUCUCCAACCUCAAAAGUCAUCGGUCUUCGCUUCUUGUCAGCAUAGCUCUUUUGACGAUCUUGAGCUGCUAACAUUCUUUCUCUAAUUAUUUUCAACUUUUCAGCAGUUUGAUGAACCAUCUCCGGUCCCAUAAACUGCUUUUCCCCAGCCUCAAGCCAACAAGACGGCGUACGACACUUCUGUCCAUACAAAGCUUGAUAAGGUGCCAUCUUAAUGCUCGAGUGAAAACUAUUAUUAUAGGAAAAUUCUACCAACGGUAAAUGUUCAUCCCAAUUACCUAGGAAUUCCAAGGUACAUGCUCUCAGCAUAUCUUCAAGUGUUUGUAUUGUUCUUUCACUCUGACCAUCAGUCUGCGGAUGGUAAGCUGUGCUUAAACAUAACUUGGUACCCAUUUCCUCUUGUAGACUUUUCCAAAACCUUGAGGUGAAACGGCUAUCACGAUCCGAUACAAUCGUUAACGGAACACCGUGAAGCCUCACAAUUUCCUUCACGUAAGAAUUCGCAAGCUUUUCCAUAGACCAUUUCUCCCUGGCCGCUAUGAAAUGCGCACUCUUAGUGAAUCGAUCAACGACCACCCAAAUCAUGUCGUGACCAUUCUUUGUUCUGGGCAGUUUAGUGACAAAAUCCAUAGCAAUGUCUUCCCACUUACCCAUAGGCACAGGCAAAGGUUCUAAACUCCCGUACGGUUUCUGAUGUUGUGUCUUGACUCUCGCACAAGUCACACACUCGGCCACAUACUUUGCAACAUCAAGCUUCAUCGUCGGCCACCAGUAGUAGGGUUUCAGGUCCCUAUACAUUUUAGUGCUACCCGGAUGAAUCGAGUACAUGGUCUUGUGAGCUUCUUCCAUCAGAAGAUCUCUAAUUCCUCCUGACUUAGGUACCCAAAUACGAUCUUGGAAUACCUUCAGUCCAUGACCGUUAGUACCAAACACCAACGUUUUACCCAAACGUUCCUCCUUUCGGUCAUUUUUCUCAGAAGCUUCCUCUUGAGCUUUCUUUAUACUUUCCACAAUGGUCGAGACAACUUCAAUUCUCAACGCUCUUGGCCUCUUCCUUUCAAGAUUGACCUUCCGACUGAGAGCAUCAGCAACAACAUUAGCUUUACCGGGGUGGUAAAGUAUCUCGCAGUCGUAGUCUUUAAGUAAUUCUAGCCAGCGUCGUUGCCUCAUAUUCAAUUCUUUCUGAUUAAAGAGGUAUUGGAGACUCUUAUGAUCAGUGAAAAGUUUGCACUUCGUGCCAUAGAGGUAAUGCCUCCAUAUUUUCAGAGCGAAAACUACCGCUGCCAACUCCAAAUCAUGAGUCGGGUAAUUCUUUUCAUGCUCUUUCAGCUGUCGAGACGCAUAUGCUAUCACCUUUUCUCUUUGGGUCAAAACACAACCCAAUCCAACACCAGACGCAUCGCUAUAAACAGCGAAGUCUUCAACUCCAUCGGGUAGAGAAAGUAUCGGUGCCUCGCAUAGCUUCUUCUUUAACUUCUCGAAUGCUUCUUUAUGCUUCUCACUCCAAGCAUAAGUAGCUCCUUUGUGGGUCAAAGCUGUUAAUGGAGUAGCAAUCGAAGAAAAGCCUUGGAUAAACCUUCGGUAAUAUCCGGCUAAUCCUAAAAAGCUUCGAAUCUCCGUGGGACUUUUCGGUUGUUCCCACUUCGUCACAGCUUCGAUCUUCGCUGGAUCAACCAUUAUCCCUUCUUGGUUGACCACGUGACCCAAGAAUUGGACUUCACGAAUCCAAAAAUCACAUUUGGAGAACUUCGCAUAAAGCUUCUCCUUCUUCAAAACUUCUAACACUUCUCGCAAGUGUCUGCCAUGCUCCUCCUGGCUUUUCGAGUAGAUCAGAAUGUCGUCUAUGAACACUAUCACGGAUUUAUCAAGGAAAGGAUUACAAACCCUAUUCAUCAAAUCCAUGAACGCUGCUGGAGCAUUGGUUAGUCCAAACGACAUAACCAAGAACUCGUAGUGUCCAUAUCUAGUUCUGAAUGCAGUCUUCUCGAUAUCUUGCUCUCUUACUUUCAGCUGAUGAUAUCCUGACCUAAGAUCGAUCUUCGAGAAAUAGCUCGAACCUUGCAAUUGAUCAAACAGGUCAUCAAUCCUCGGCAACGGAUAUCUAUUCUUUAUUGUUGCCUUGUUCAGCUCUCUGUAAUCGAUGCACAUUCUCAUACUUCCAUCUUUCUUCUUUACAAAUAACACCGGAGCUCCCCAGGGCGAUGAACUAGGUCUAAUGAAACCUUUGUCCAAUAACUCCUGAAGUUGCAUCAUUAGCUCCUUCAUCUCCGUCGGUGCUAAUCGAUAAGGUGCUUUUGCUAUUGGCGUGGUUCCUGGUAACAAGUCUAUUCUGAACUCCACUUGUCUAUCAGGUGGUAAUCCAGGAAGAUCCUCGGGAAAUACUUCCGGAUAAUCACACACCACUGGAAUGCUCUGCAUCACCUUCUUUUCUUUCUUAGCAUCAAUCACGAAUGCUAAAUAUGAUGUACAUCCCUUGGUCAAACACUUUCUGGCUUUCAUUAGAGAAAUGAUUCCAGAAUUCACUCUGCGUUUGUCCCCAUACACCAUAAACGAAUCUUUUCCAGGCGGGUUUACUUUAACUAUCUUCUUCUUGCACAAAAUUUCGGCAUCAUUGGCGCUAAGCCAAUCCAUUCCCAAGACGAUGUCGAAACCAUUUAGUUCGAUAGGCAAUAAUUCCUCGAGAAACUUAUUCCCAUUAAGGUCGAUCAAGACGUUUUUCAUACGAUGGCUAACAGGUACAAACUUGCCACUAGCUACUUCGACUAAUAAAGCAUUAUUUAGUCUAUCAACAGGCAAAGCUAGCUUUCUACCAAACUCAUGCGAAAUAAAGGAGUAGUUGGCUCCAGAAUCAAACAAUAUAUGAGCAGGUAAUUCGUUUACGAGAAAGGUACCUGAAGCGACAUCAGCUUCAUCUUUCGCAGCCUCAAGUGUCAUCUGGAAGGCUCUCGCCUUCGGCUUUGGUGGAAUGUUGGGCCUAGCUGCCUCCUUCUUCUUCGGACAGUCUUUCAAAAUAUGCCCCUCUUCAUUACAACCAAAACACAUCCUUUUGUUGUUCGGACAUUCAUUGGCAAAAUGUCCAACCUUUCCACACUUGUAGCAGGUCACAUCCUCGCUACAUUUCCCAAAGUGCUUUUUCUUACACUUAUCACACCACUUUGCUUCGCCUCCUUUUCCUCCAAACUUUUUCGAAUCAGAUUUCGAAAAUUUGCUCUUCUUACUGGAACCAGAUGUUCCUUCAAACUUCCUUUUCUCACCAACCUCAACCUUGACGGUGGUUCUCCCCUUGAUCAUGUUCUCCACAGACUUGGCAGCCCAGAUAGCUGCCUCUAGAGUAAGUGCCUGACGUACCGGCACCUCGUACUCCCAUGGAAGUCCCUUCGCAUACCGAUCCACCUUUGUCAGCUCGUCUGGAACGAUACGCAAGGCAAACUCCAUCUUAUCGGUGAAGUUAUUGGUGUAUUCAUCAACUGACAUGCUACCCUUCGUCAAUGUCAAAAACUUAUUCUCCAACUCCAACAGAUUUUGAGCCGAGCAGAACUUGCGCUUGAACUGCACCAAGAACUCUGCCCAUGACAAUUGCAGUGGCUCAUUAGGGCUUAAGGUCUUCCCUAGAGUGUUCCACCAACGAACGGCUCCACCUCGGAAUUGUCGCACGGCAUAGAUAGUCUGCAACUUACCUCUGCAGCCACAUGUCAUAAAGGCUAACUCCAUUUCGGAGAUCCAAUCCAUAACCCCAAUCGGAUCCUCCUUUCCAUUGAAGGUCGAUGGUUUGCAAGUCAAAAAGUCCUUGUACUUGCAUCCCAUUCCAUCAUUCCUUCCUUCAUGGUUAUCUUGCCUAACUAUCGGUGGGUUGGCUGGACCAACAGACCCACUGAAGUUUCCACCUUCCGAGUGCCCUUCAUUUAAUUCAGGCUCUUCCACACGAAUCGACAGUUCUUCACGAUUUUGUUGAAGCAACCGUCUAGUUUCAUCCAUCUGACGAUCCAACAUCGUCUGAAUCAUCAAUUGCACACCAGCCAUGGUUAUUGGCUCAGGUGCUGCUGCUACGACAGGUAUUGGCUCAAUCACUGGUGGUUGAUUCCUGUUUUCGUCAGCAUUUCCAACUCCACUUCUUGUUCUCACCAUUUUGAUCUACACCCCGAAUAAGGUGAAAUUAGAUCCUCAAUCAUGAUAGAUAUUCAAAUCAUCCUUAUCACUCCGAAACGUUUACAUGCUAGUUCUAAUAUCGUAGACGUACGCUUAGAAUCCUACACACAUAAGGUUUCUAGAUCCGGUCGGCAACAGACCAUAGAUCCGAACAAAUAAUAUCAUAUAUGGCAACAUAUAACAUUUAGCACAUAAAGCAUUUUAGGCAACUUUCCUAAAAUAAACUAGUGCUCGUGUCUAAAACACAACAGACACACAUCUCAAAACUUCACUUAGCAUUCUAAGUUUAAGUCUAGAAAUCCUACAAAUUCCUAGUUCGCUUAAACUAAUGCUCUGAUACCAACUGUGACAUCCCCAAAAUCUCGGCCAGAAAAGACCGAUUUUCAUUUAUGCUUUUAAAUAUUUUCAGAGUAAAUCCUUUUGAUUUGAAAGAGUUGCGGAAUUUGUUCCCAAAAACAAAACAUGAUAAAACAUUGUUUACCGAAGCAUUUCAUAAAAGAAAUGUAUUUUCAUUAUAAUCAAAACUCGGGGUGUCAUGUUCCGAUACAGACCAAUAAGCAUAAACGAAUACAUUACAAGUCAUAUAACAAAUAUAAACAUAUGCAGACUUGUAAACAAAACAACUUGAUGGUUCAUCCAUCUCAUGCCCUUCCGCCACUACCUGUAAUACAAUUUAAAACUGAGUGGGUCAGGCUUGGGAGCCUGGUGAGCAUAUAGGGUUUUCAACCCACAAUAAAUAUCAUAUUUAAUUUUCACCAACCAACAAUAACCCAAUUACCCAUUCCCGUUAUUCUCACUUUAAUGUCCCUAAAACAACUAACAUAAGGGACCUAGUCUAAGAAUAUUUCAUCGGGGCGACAACACAUGCUUCGGGGGUACCUCAGCAAUAUAAGUCAAAUAAGGCAACCAUGAGGGGGAUGGAGUACAGCGAAUGAACACCCAAGUUCAUUAACACCUACAGGUGGCGAACCUGCUAAUGUUUCCACAAGACUGUCUAGAAUAGCCAGUGGUCGUCAUCUAAACUCCGCUAGAUGACUCAAUCAAACAAC
rnacentral:lncRNA from 1 species